CCUACGGGGGGCUGCAGUGGGGAAUUGUUCGCAAUGGGCGCAAGCCUGACGACGCAACGCCGCGUGGAGGAUGAAGGUCUUCGGAUUGUAAACUCCUGUUGCCCGGGACGAACAGCUGCAACCUAAUACGUUGCAGCCUGACGGUACCGGGUGAGGAAGCCCCGGCUAACUCUGUGCCAGCAGCCGCGGUAAUACAGAGGGGGCAAGCGUUGUUCGGAAUUACUGGGCGUAAAGGGCGCGUAGGCGGCCUGCUAAGUCGAACGUGAAAUCCCCGGGCUCAACCCGGGAACUGCGUCCGAUACUGGCAGGCUCGAAUCCGGGAGAGGGAUGCGGAAUUCCAGGUGUAGCGGUGAAAUGCGUAGAUAUCUGGAGGAACACCGGUGGCGAAGGCGGCAUCCUGGACCGGCAUUGACGCUGAGGCGCGAAAGCCAGGGGAGCAA
rnacentral:rRNA from 1 species